CCCUUAGAUGUUCUGGGCGGCCCGCGCACUACAUUGGCACUAGCAAAGAGAUCCUAGAUUGAAUUCUUUGGGGUAUUCUUCUAAAUGGUGUCGUGACUGGGAUAAAUCCUUGUAAUUAUUGGUUUUGAACGAGGAAUUCCUUGUAAUCGCGGUUUAUCAGCUCGCGUUGAAUGCGUCCCUGCCCUUUGUACACACCGCCCGUCGCCCCUACCGAUGGAUCGUCCGGUGAAGCUCACGGAGUGACUGUUCACGCAACGGUUUACGAAGUGAAAUGGACCUCACGAUUUAGAGGAAGGAGAAGUCGUAACA
rnacentral:rRNA from 1 species